rnacentral:rRNA from 1 species
UACGUAGGGGGCAAGCGUUGUCCGGAUUCAUUGGGCGUAAAGAGCUCGUAGGCGGCUUGGCAAGUCGGGUGUGAAAACUUCAGGCUCAACCUGGAGCGGCCACUCGAUACUGCCAUGGCUAGAGUCCGGUAGGGGACCACGGAAUUCCUGGUGUAGCGGUGAAAUGCGCAGAUAUCAGGAGGAACACCGGUGGCGAAGGCGGGUCUUUGGGCCGAUACUGACGCUGAGGAGCGAAAGCGUGGGGAGCGAACGAGG